CCCGCGACCCGAUCCCGGAUAAGCGGUAGACGAUGGAUGGAUGGAUGGAUAUAUAUAUUAAUAUAAUAUAAUAUAUAUGUGUGCAUAUGUAGUCUGAGGACUGGUGUGACGUCUCCUCUGAUUGGCUGACUGUGUGACGUCUCCUCAGGUUCCUGCUCUUCUGCAGGACGAGCAGUCUUCGUCUUCAUCUUCAGAGGAGGAGGAGGAGGAGGAGGAGGAGCAGGAGCAGGAGCAGGAGCAGAGUGAGGAAGCCCAGAAGGACAAAAAGGAGAAGAAGAAGAUGGUGAAAGAAACGCAGAGAGAAAAAAGAAAAAACAAAGUACCGAAACACGUGAAGAAGAGGAAAGAGAAAGUGUCCAAGAUAAAGAAAGGCAAAUGACGACUUCCUGUUUGAUGUGUCACAAUGAAACUUUUAAUAAAACCCAUAAAAUAA